rnacentral:rRNA from 1 species
GACGAACGCUGGCGGCGUGCUUAACGCAUGCAAGUCGAACGGGCGGAUUUGGUAGCUUGCUAUCAUUGAAGCUAGUGGCAAACGGGUGAGUAACGCGUAGGCAACCUGCCCCUUGGAUGGGGACAACAUUCCGAAAGGGAUGCUAAUACCGAAUGAUGUAUGAUUUUCGCAUGGGAGUCAUACCAAAGGCCGAGCAAUCGGUCACCAGGAGAUGGGCCUGCGUCUGAUUAGCUAGUUGGUGGGGUAACGGCCCACCAAGGCGACGAUCAGUAGCCGGUCUGAGAGGAUGAACGGCCACAUUGGGACUGAGACACGGCCCAG